GUGGGGAAUCUUAGACAAUGGGCGCAAGCCUGAUCUAGCCAUGCCGCGUGAGUGAUGAAGGCCCUAGGGUUGUAAAGCUCUUUCAGCUGGGAAGAUAAUGACGGUACCAGCAGAAGAAGCCCCGGCUAACUCCGUGCCAGCAGCCGCGGUAAUACGGAGGGGGCUAGCGUUGUUCGGAAUUACUGGGCGUAAAGCGCGCGUAGGCGGACUGAAAAGUUGGGGGUGAAAUCCCGGGGCUCAACCUCGGAACUGCCUUCAAAACUAUAAGUCUGGAGUUCGAGAGAGGUGAGUGGAAUUCCGAGUGUAGAGGUGAAAUUCGUAGAUAUUCGGAGGAACACCAGUGGCGAAGGCGGCUCACUGGCUCGAUACUGACGCUGAGGUGCGAAAGCGUGGGGAGCAAACAGGAUUAGAAACCCGUGUAGUCC
rnacentral:rRNA from 1 species